GAUCCUGGCUCAGGACGAACGCUUGCGGCGCGCCUAACACAUGCAAGUCGAACGAGCGAGAGAGAGCUUGCUUUCUCAAGCGAGUGGCGAACGGGUGAGUAACGCGUGAGUAACCUGCCUCAAGGAGGGGGACAACAGUUGGAAACGACUGCUAAUACCGCAUAAGCCCACGGCUCGGCAUCGAGCAGAGGGAAAAGGAGCAAUCCGCUUUGAGAUGGCCUCGCGUCCGAUUAG
rnacentral:rRNA from 1 species